rfam:Trypanosoma congolense IL3000, WGS project CAEQ01000000 data, contig: 290
AGUGCCCUCAGGUAUUGCAGUGUUUGUGUAUCGUCGUCACCGCAGGUUCAAGAGGCACAAGA